rnacentral:lncRNA from 1 species
CUGAUGUGGUGGAUGCUGGCCCGGGAAGUACUCCGUAUGCGUGGCACUAUCUCCCGUGAGCACCCAUGGGAGGUAAUGCCUGACCUUUACUUCUACAGAGACCCAGAGGAGAUUGAGAAGGAGGAGCAGGCUGCUGCCGAGAAGGCUGUGACCAAGGAGGAAUUUCAGGGUGAAUGGACAGCGCCAGCGCCAGAGUUCACUGCUGCUCAGCCAGAGGUGGCCGACUGGUCUGAGGGUGUGCAGGUGCCCUCUGUACCCAUCCAGCAGUUUCCUACUGAAGACUGGAGUGCCCAGCCAGCCACUGAGGACUGGUCAGCAGCUCCCACAGCACAGGCCACUGAGUGGGUUGGAGCCACCACUGAGUGGUCCUGAGCUGCUCUGCAGACAGCUGAGCAAAGGGAAAAAAGGUGGAAGGAAAAUAAAGUUCUUACAAGUUGUCUCGUGAAGUCUUUACUUGGAUUGCUACUGCAGGAUGCUAAUGGCAUUGGAGAGGGGGUAAUGACCUGAUUCAUGUUGAAUACUUAACCUUGAGAGUAGGUUUGGGGUGUGGGUUGUUUUUUUGUUUGUUUUUGAGAUAGGGAUUCUCUGGCUUUGGAGCCUGUCAUCUUGUAUAGACUAGGCUGAUCUCGAACUCAACACAGAGAUCCACCUGCCUCUGUUUCCGGAGUGCUGGGAUUAAAUGUGCACCACCCGGCCUAAUGUUACAUUUUAAAGUCUUAAAAUGUCCUGUGUUUUAAAGUAAAAAAAAAAUGACAUCCUGAAAUUCACAGGCAAAUGGGUGGAACUAGAAGAAACCAUCUGGAGUAAGCAAACAUAGACACAAAUACGGUAUGUACUCGCUCAUAUAUGGAUAUUGGACAGUGCAAAGGAUAACCAGACUACAAUCCACCAACACGUGGUCCCACAGAGAGGGGAAAGUGACAAGAUCUGAGCAAAUGGGGAGCAUGGUCAGGAAGGUCAAGUUAGGGGAAGAACAGGAGGAGAUACCUUAAUAGAGGGAGCCAUUAUGGGCUUAAUGAGAAACUUGGCACUAGGGAAUUUGCCAGGAAUUCACAAGGAUGACCCCAACUAAGAAUCUAAGUAGUGGAGAGACUGCCUUAAAUGCCCUUCUCCUUGGUCUUUUCUGUCCAUCCGCCAUGGCGGGUGGGUGAAAGACCCGAGCUAACAUGGGGUUAGCUCAUUAAAUUACAAUAAAGCCUCGUGCAGUUUGCAGCAAGAAAAAAAAAUGCCCUUCUGUAAUGAGAUCUAUGACUACAUUGAAUUCCAUCAAAGAGCCUUCAUCCAGUAGCUAUUGAAAGCAGAAGCAGAUUCACUGCUAAGCCCUGAGAUAAAAGUUGUAGAGUGAGGAGUGAUAAGCAAAGGGAUCAAGACCCUGUUGGGGAAGCCCACAGAAAGUGGGAACUCAUGGACCACAGUCUGACAGCUGGGGAGCCAACAUAAGACCAAACCAGGCCCCCUGAAUGUGGGUAUCAGUCGUGGGGCCUCUGGCAGUGGAACCAGUGUUUAUCCCCAGUGUACAAAUGGACAUUGGGAGCCGAUUCCCUAUGGAGGGAUACUCAGCCUAGAUACAACAGAGAGGGCCUUGGUCCUGCCCCAGUGAUGACAGACUUUGAUGAUCCCCCAUGGGAGGCCCCACCCUCCCUUAGUGGUGGAUGGGGGAGGCUUUGUGGAAUGGGGACAGGUGGAGGGAGAGGAAACUGGGAUUGGUAUGUAAAAUAAGGUUUUUAAUUUAAACAAAAAUUAAAAAAAUGCCCUGAGUUUUAAUGCCAUUAAGUAGAAGGUUGCUCACAUCCUUGUUUAUAACAAAAAUUUUGUAAAAUGUUAAAAUCAGGAAGCUGGAGAGAUGGCUCAGAGAUUAAGAGCACCGACUGCUCUUCCAGAGGUCCUGAGUUCAAUUCCCAGCAACCACAUGGUGGUUCACAACCAUCUGUAAUGAGACCUGGUGCCCUCUUCUGGUGUGCAGAUAUACAUGGAAGCAGAAUGUUGUUUACAUAAUAAUAAAUAAAAUCUUUAAAAAAAAAUCAGGAAGCUGGGUAAGCUAUUUACAGCCACUUAGCAGCUCAUUCUAGAUGCUGUAAUACCGUGGAGAAAUGUUUAACCUCUAAGAGCAGCAAUCGGUUGUCAAUGUGGAUAUGGAAUUAUCUGCUCUGAAGUUGAUGGUGGUGGUGAUAAUAUAGGCAUCCAUGCCUUGCAUCUCAAUAGAGGAUGUUCCCAUUGUCUUACUUAAUGAAAACCACAGCAGCCCCUUCUAAUGAAAGGUUUGACAGGAGUAACUUGCUGACAUGGUAUAAUACAGCUUGCUGUCUUGGCCAGCAACUUAGUGCUGUUUCCCAUCUGCUGAGGGGGUGAGGCUGCACACUGGGGACGCCAGUCUUUAUGUGGCUUUCAACUACUUAGGCUUCAUUCCAAAAUGGGAAAUGAUGGGUGUCAAAAAUAAUGUCCCAGAGAGUCCAGACCAAGGUGACAGCCUCUCUAUGUUUUCCUUAUACUUUUACCAUAGCUUAUUAAUGAAGAGAAUCACAAGGUGAUAGCCAUGAAAGGAGGGAACAGAGCCCUCUGGGUAUCGGCUUCAUCUUGAGGAAGGUGGGCAGGCAGGGUGUGAGCCUUUCUUAAUCCUACAGUGGACAUUUAAAUACUUUGCCUUUGGUACACCGGUUUCUCUUCAGACUGCAUUACCCCUCCUUUUUGCUUUGUCUCAUGUGUCCUCAUCCUCUAUUUUUUAAAACAUUUUC